rnacentral:SRP_RNA from 1 species
AUCAAGGUCUUGUGCAAUGGUCCACUGUGAACCAUGUCAGGGCUUGACCGCAGCAGCACUAAACAAGAUGUGGCGUGUGCCACAAGGUAGCUUUAACGG